GCUGCUUUCAUUUUCCCUUGGCUGAGGAAACGAUGGUUUGGUUUUGCAAAGGAAUGCUGGGGACUUCUGCCAGCUUGCUAACGGCCUUGCCCCAUUCAGAUGCAUCGAACUCACAGAACAUCGCUCCCCAGCUGCUGGCUCGCGGUUCUGAGAGUGCCUGAAUAGAAAACCACUCAUUUCCCUUCGCAAAAGAGGCGCCCAAAGCAGAUAUUUCAAUAUAUUCCAAUUUAGCCGAGGGAAGCCAGAACAUGGAUGUUGUUGCCAAGGAAACCACCUCCUUCCUCCUGUGUGCUGUGCAUACGUGUAUCACUUCAUCUCUCUGCUCUCCAAGAAAAAGUUUGCCAACUCCUGCUCUAGAUUGAUGGUUACAAAGUCUGACAGAGGAUACAGUUACAGGGACAUGGCAAAGCCAGAAAAACGAGGACCGGGAGUCCAGCUUUCAACAAAGCCAAUCUAUUCAAUCUCCAGACUACCCUUUGUACCAAGGAAGUCACGGGGUGACUCCAAGCAGGGCCCCCUUUGCAUUCAGCCUGCCCUUCUCUCAGCCCAGGUAAGAUAAGAGACUGGAGACACAGAGAGGCUCCAGAACUUACCCAAGGUCACACAG
rnacentral:lncRNA from 10 species